UACGUAGGUGGCAAGCGUUGUCCGGAUUUACUGGGCGUAAAGAGCGCGCAGGCGGUCGUGCAAGUCGCGUGUGAAAGCCCCCGGCUCAACUGGGGAGGGUCACGCGAUACUGUUCGACUCGAAGGCAGGAGAGGGUAGUGGAAUUCCCGGUGUAGUGGUGAAAUGCGUAGAUAUCAGGAGGAACACCGGUGGCGAAGGCGGUUCUCUGGGCAUUUCCUGACGCUGAGGAGCGAAAGCAUGGGGGAGCGAACAGG
rnacentral:rRNA from 1 species